GUGCUCGCUUCGGCAGCACAUAGACUAACAUUGGAACGACACAGAGAAGAGCAGCAUGGCCCCUGCGCAAGGAUGACACGCAAAGUCGUGAAGUGUUCCAUUUUUUA
ensembl:snRNA U6 U6 spliceosomal RNA